AUGCAGGCCUGUUAUAAUACAAGUGUGUUGUUUGGGACUUUGUGCAGAACAGAAUGCAUUAUUCCACAUGAUUGUUUUACAUAUAGACCAUUUAAAGGUUUAACAUUCUACUGGUCACAUAGAAACAUGUUAAAGGUUAACAUUCUACUGGUCAGUCAUAGAACAUUUAAAGGUUUAACAUUCUACUGGUCAGUCAUAGAACAUUUAAAGGUUUAACAUAUUCUACUGUUGUCAUUUUAGACCAACAGAAAUAACAGGUUGGAGGUGAAAAGGGUUGAUACUGUAACGCAACGUGACUGUUGGUUACCCAGAAAAACAACACAUCCUGUGCUUCUACACCCAGGUACAAAACCAACAUUACUGUAACAAUUUGUUAACACAUUUCUAUAAGAAAAGAGAGAAAAAAAUCGGGAUAGCAUUAUCGCUCGGUAAUGUGAGCCCUCAAAAGCCUGAGUGCAACAUUGGAAGCAUGCAUUAGGCCUGAUUGUGUGCUUGUGUUGUGUAAUUGGUGACCAAUUAAGUAUUUUUGUGCGGAAAGGAUAUCUAUCACUUUGUUAUAGUCGUUAGUGCGCAUGGGUUUGGAGAAGAAAAAAAUCAAGCAUUUUCAGUUUGUAUGUACAGAAUGACAGCUCAUAGGUAUGGAGACUGUGGUUGGUCACAGUUCCUUUUCAGUCUGUUGUAAGGGUUCCAGAAUCCCGGUUGGAAUAAGCAGGAAAUUCGAGAAUCAUCCAAACAGGAUUUCUGGAAAACCAGGGAAUUUUGGACAAAUGACCAGAAUAGUGCAACCCGAGGGGUUAUCAUGAUUUCCCAAUGUGUUUAUAUGUGCUGUGUAUGUAUGUGCUAGUCCAAUGAGUUCACAUGAAUGUAUUUUUUUAAGUGUAUUAUUUUUGUAUCAAUGUGAGGUGUCAUGAACCCCAUGUUUUGUAAGUUGUUUCUCUGUGAGAGAUUUUAAGUCAUGUUGUUUUCCCAUUUUGUUUUCAACACUGUAAAGACACCAUGAAUAAAAUAUGAUCUUAUAUUAAUAAUUAUACUUUGUCAGUAAUUAUUGUAAUACUUGUAUGUGUAAUGCGCUGAUGCUUUUGAAUUGACGUCUGUAACAUUGUCCCAAGGUUCUCACUCCCCACAUAUACAUGCAACGCCAGCAGUGACCACAAGGAGACACAAUUUGAUGAUGUCACAAUAACUUCCCUGGUUACCAACGUAAUGUUCAACAAUGCAUUAUCAUAUUGGUAGAAUAAAACUCCCUUCUCCUUCAAAACAUGUAUCAUUUUACAAAACAAUUUCCCUUUGUGAAGACCAGAUGUUUUUUUCCCCACAUUAAGCCUACUCGGAGACACAGCGUCACGGUCACUUAUCACUCUAGUCUUGAACGCACUGAAGUCGGAGAUUUCCUAGUUCCCGAGUUCCCAGUUGUUUGAACACAGCAUUAGUCUCAGCGAAGGGAGGGAGAGAACAACAGAGGGUCCGCCUCUCACUGUCCCUGACUACUCUCUCCUUCCUUUCCUCCGGUGAGACUGACUAGAGAGAGGGGACAUCGUCUUUCAUCUGAAGGUGAAACUCGAGUCGUACCGCAUCAGCCUCAUGCACACAAUCAUGUUGAUCAUAUGACCAGAGAAAGUUAAAUAUUUCCCUGUAUUGUUAGACUCGACGAGCUGCUAAUAACAACAACAACGCAGAGCUAUCGAUACACUUGGCUACACAUUCAUUGCAGCACCAGGGGAAGUAGGGAAAAGCAGGAUUUCUGUUUUGUAAUAGUGUUGAAUAAAAACAGUGUUGACAGUGCUUAAUAAAUAAAAACGUAGACGUGAACUCACUCAUCAAAACAGCAGCUCUUCGCUGUAUUCUUUGACAGUCUCUCUCUCUCUCUGGUCAAGGUUUUAAAAGUUAUGAAU
rnacentral:lncRNA from 1 species